rnacentral:rRNA from 1 species
CCUACGGGGGGCAGCAGUGAGGAAUAUUGGUCAAUGGACGAGAGUCUGAACCAGCCAAGUAGCGUGAAGGAUGACUGCCCUAUGGGUUGUAAACUUCUUUUAUAUGGGAAUAAAACGUUCCACGUGUGGGAUUUUGUAUGUACCAUAUGAAUAAGGAUCGGCUAACUCCGUGCCAGCAGCCGCGGUAAUACGGAGGAUACGAGCGUUAUCCGGAUUUAUUGGGUUUAAAGGGAGCGUAGGUGGAUUGUUAAGUCAGUUGUGAAAGUUUGCGGCUCAACCGUAAAAUUGCAGUUGAAACUGGCAGUCUUGAGUACAGUAGAGGUGGGCGGAAUUCGUGGUGUAGCGGUGAAAUGCUUAGAUAUCACGAAGAACUCCGAUUGCGAAGGCAGUUCACUGGACUGCAACUGACACUGAGGCUCGAAAGUGUGGGUAUCAAACAGGAUUAGAUACCCCUGUAGUC